AAAAGCUCAAAUUUGUAAUCUCGGCGCCUUCGGCGUCCGAGUUGUAAUCUCGAGAAGUGUUUUCCGUGAUAGACCGCAUACAAGUCUCUUGGAACAGAGCGUCAUAGUGGUGAGAACCCAGUACACGAUGCGGAUGCCUAUUACUUUGUGAUACACUUUACGAAGAGUCGAGUUGUUUGGGAAUGCAGCUCAAAUUGGGUGGUAAAUUCCAUCUAAAGCUAAAUAUUGGCGAGAGACCGAUAGCGAACAAGUACCGUGAGGGAAAGAUGAAAAGCACUUUGGAAAGAGAGUUAACAGUACGUGAAAUUGUUGGAAGGGAAACACAUGCAGUGAUACUUGCUAUUCGGGGCAACUCGAUUGGCAGGCCCGCAUCAGUUUUUCGGGGCGGAAAAUCAUAGAGAGAAGGUAGCAGUCUCGGCUGUGUUAUAGCUCUUUAUUGGAUUCGCCCUGGGGGACUGAGGAACGCAGCGUGCUUUUUGCAUGAGCUUCGGCUUAUCCACGCUUAGGAUGCGGGUUUAUGGCUGUAUAUGACCCGUCUG
rnacentral:rRNA from 1 species